rnacentral:RNase_P_RNA from 1 species
CGAAGAAGCACAGGCGAUCGCCGGUUUCGCCUGCGAAACGGGAGGAAAGUCCGGGCUCCGCAGGACAGGAUGGUUCCUAACGGGAACCGGGGGUGACCCCAGGGACAGUGCCACAGAGAGCAGACCGCCGUGCAUGGCACGGUAAGGGUGAAAGGGUGAGGUAAGAGCUCACCAGCGGUUCUGGUGACAGAGCCGGCUCGGUAAACCCCAUCCGGAGCAAGGCCGCAUAGGGAAGCGCUUGAGGGUGGUCCGCCCGAAGCUUCCGGGUUGGCUGCUUGAGGCCGUCGGCAACGGCGGUCCUAGAGGAAUGAUCGCCCAUCGUCGAGCCGGUAACGGCUGACGGGGACAGAACCCGGCUUAUGGGCUUCUUCGACCU